UGGGAUGUAGCUCAAUGGUAGAGCACUUGCCUAGCAUGCACAAGACCCUGGGUUCAAUCCCUGGUACCACAA
rnacentral:tRNA from 1 species